UACAUGCAGUCGAGCGGACAGAUGGGAGCUUGCUCCCUGAUGUUAGCGGCGGACGGGUGAGUAACACGUGGGUAACCUGCCUGUAAGACUGGGAUAACUCCGGGAAACCGGGGCUAAUACCGGAUGCUUGAUUGAACCGCAUGGUUCAAUUAUAAAAGGUGGCUUUUAGCUACCACUUACAGAUGGACCCGCGGCGCAUUAGCUAGUUGGUGAGGUAACGGCUCACCAAGGCAACGAUGCGUAGCCAACCUGAGAGGGUGAUCGGCCACACUGGGACUGAGACACGGCCCAAACUCCUACGGGAGGCAGCAGUAGGGAAUCUUCCGCAAUGGACGAAAGUCUGACGGAGCAACGCCGCGUGAGUGAUGAAGGUUUUCGGAUCGUAAAACUCUGUUGUUAGGGAAGAACAAGUACCGUUCGAAUAGGGCGGUACCUUGACGGUACCUAACCAGAAAGCCACGGCUAACUACGUGCCAGCAGCCGCGGUAAUACGUAGGUGGCAAGCGUUGUCCGGAAUUAUUGGGCGUAAAGCGCGCGCAGGCGGUUUCUUAAGUCUGAUGUGAAAGCCCCCGGCUCAACCGGGGAGGGUCAUUGGAAACUGGGGAACUUGAGUGCAAAAGAGGAAGUGGAAUUCCCGUGUAGCGGUGAAUGCGUAGAAUGUGGAGGAACACCAGUGGCGAGGCGACUCUCUGGUCUGAACUGACGCUGAGGCGCGAAAGCGUGAGGAGCGACCAGGAUAAGAUACCCUGG
rnacentral:rRNA from 1 species